UCAACUUGAGAGUUUGAUCCUGGCUCAGAACGAACGCUGGCGGCAGGCUUAACACAUGCAAGUCGAGCGAGCCCUUCGGGGCUAGCGGCGGACGGGUGAGUAACGCGUGGGAACAUACCCUUUGCUACGGAAUAGCCUCGGGAAACUGAGAGUAAUACCGUAUGUGCCCUUCGGGGGAAAGAUUUAUCGGCAAGGGAUCGGCCCGCGUUGGAUUAGGUAGUUGGUGGGGUAACGGCCCACCAAGCCGACGAUCCAUAGCUGGUUUGAGAGGAUGAUCAGCCACACUGGGACUGAGACACGGCCCAGACUCCUACGGGAGGCAGCAGUGGGGAAUCUUGGA
rnacentral:rRNA from 1 species